rnacentral:rRNA from 1 species
UAAGGGAUAUUGCACAAUGGGGGAAACCCUGAUGCAGCAACACCGCGUGUGCGAAGAAGGCCUUCGGGUUGUAAAGCACUUUUUGAGAGGAUGAGGAAGGACGGUACUCUCAGAAUAAGUCUCGGCUAACUACGUGCCAGCAGACGCGGUAACACGUAGGAGGCAAACGUUAUCCGGAUUUACUGGGAGUAAAGCGCGGGUAGGUGGUUUGGUAAGUAGAGCGUGAAAGCUCCUGGCUCAACUGGGAGAGGUCGUUCUAAACUGCCGGACUAGAGGAUGGUAGAGGGAGGUGGAAUUCCGGGUGUAGCGGUGGAAUGCGCAGAUAUCCGGAGGAACACCAGUGGCGAAAGCGGCCUCCUGGACCACUCCUGACACUCAGACGCGAAAGCUAGGGUAGCAAACG